rnacentral:rRNA from 1 species
CGGCGUCGAGCGGCGGACGGGUGAGUAAUGCCUAGGAAAUUGCCCUGAUGUGGGGGAUAACCAUUGGAAACGAUGGCUAAUACCGCAUAAUGCCUACGGGCCAAAGAGGGGGACCUUCGGGCCUCUCGCGUCAGGAUAUGCCUAGGUGGGAUUAGCUAGUUGGUGAGGUAAGGGCUCACCAAGGCGACGAUCCCUAGCUGGUCUGAGAGGAUGAUCAGCCACACUGGAACUGAGACACGGUCCAGACUCCUACGGGAGGCAGCAGUGGGGAAUAUUGCACAAUGGGCGCAAGCCUGAUGCAGCCAUGCCGCGUGUGUGAAGAAGGCCUUCGGGUUGUAAAGCACUUUCAGUCGUGAGGAAGGUAGUGUAGUUAAUAGCUGCAUUAUUUGACGUUAGCGACAGAAGAAGCACCGGCUAACUCCGUGCCAGCAGCCGCGGUAAUACGGAGGGUGCGAGCGUUAAUCGGAAUUACUGGGCGUAAAGCGCAUGCAGGUGGUUUGUUAAGUCAGAUGUGAAAGCCCGGGGCUCAACCUCGGAAUUGCAUUUGAAACUGGCAGACUAGAGUACUGUAGAGGGGGGUAGAAUUUCAGGUGUAGCGGUGAAAUGCGUAGAGAUCUGAAGGAAUACCGGUGGCGAAGGCGGCCCCCUGGACAGAUACUGACACUCAGAUGCGAAAGCGUGGGGAGCAAACAGGAUUAGAUACCCUGGUAGUCCACGCCGUAAACGAUGUCUACUUGGAGGUUGUGGCCUUGAGCCGUGGCUUUCGGAGCUAACGCGUUAAGUAGACCGCCUGGGGAGUACGGUCGCAAGAUUAAAACUCAAAUGAAUUGACGGGGGCCCGCACAAGCGGUGGAGCAUGUGGUUUAAUUCGAUGCAACGCGAAGAACCUUACCUACUCUUGACAUCCAGAGAACUUUCCAGAGAUGGAUUGGUGCCUUCGGGAACUCUGAGACAGGUGCUGCAUGGCUGUCGUCAGCUCGUGUUGUGAAAUGUUGGGUUAAGUCCCGCAACGAGCGCAACCCUUAUCCUUGUUUGCCAGCGAGUAAUGUCGGGAACUCCAGGGAGACUGCCGGUGAUAAACCGGAGGAAGGUGGGGACGACGUCAAGUCAUCAUGGCCCUUACGAGUAGGGCUACACACGUGCUACAAUGGCGCAUACAGAGGGCAGCCAACUUGCGAGAGUGAGCGAAUCCCAAAAAGUG